rnacentral:rRNA from 1 species
CAGCCGCCGCGGUAAUACGUAGGUGGCAAGCGUUGUCCGGAAUUAUUGGGCGUAAAGGGCUCGCAGGCGGUUUCUUAAGUCUGAUGUGAAAGCCCCCGGCUCAACCGGGGAGGGUCAUUGGAAACUGGGAAACUUGAGUGCAGAAGAGGAGAGUGGAAUUCCACGUGUAGCGGUGAAAUGCGUAGAGAUGUGGAGGAACACCAGUGGCGAAGGCGACUCUCUGGUUUGUAACUGACGCUGAGGAGCGAAAGCGUGGGGAGCGAACAGGAUUAGAUACCCCUGUAGUCCAUGUCUCUUAUAC